GUACGACGACCCCUCACACGAAGAAAAAAACUAACGAUCUCUCCCUCCGCCUGGGAACUCGAUCUGGAUCACGGCGGCGGCGGCGGCGGCGACUCCUCUCUCUCUCUCUCUCUCUCUCCGCGCACCGAUGCAUCCCCCGGAGCCCUGCCCACCUCCUCCCUUUUCAGCGCCCACAUCGCGACCCCUGUGGCUACUCCACUCUUGAGGCGUCGUGGAGGUUACGGAAACCCGAUGGCGUUGGCUUGCCGGAGAUGAAGAAGACAGCCAGGUGAUGCGGUACUCGGGAGGUGGAAUUGGCAACGGAGGUGGCUCCAUAUGGAUGUCGCGGACCUCCCACUGGAUGGAAUCGAAGUGGGACGAUGUGCUUCGGUCGUCAACGGCGGCUGCGCGGGAUGCAGUAUGGUAUGGAUCGGGCAUCUCGAGGAUGGGCUUUCUUCGCAAGGCUCGUCCACGCCACAGCGGAGGUGUUUGAGGAGUCUGUCCCGGGGUUGCUCGUGAAGCAUGUCGACGUCUCCGUCUUGCCAUUGCUCAAAACACCGCCCUGCCGGCUGGGUCCUUAUUUGCCAUCGAGGCCUUCCGCAACAUGGUCCAUGAUGCCUGAUUGCUUCCUCUUUGGCUGGAUCGGGUCCAACCACACAGUAAGCUAUGCCUCGUCUUCCGUCUUCUUUCUUAAAUUUUCUAUGGUUCUUGGUCUGAUUCUCAAUAAAGAGCUCAAACUCGUCUUGAGUUUUUGGUUAUGGCCUGCACUAUAUUGUUGGUACAGAUUAUUGUACUACUGUCUUGAGUGGCAAAUAUUUACUGAGAUGGGAUAAUAGUGCAGGUUGAUGUGUGUAGCACGUGUUAACAAAAUCUCAAUUAUCUGCAUGGUAUAUAUAUCUCUAAUCAUUGUCUUUUCCAGAAUGAAGAGAAGGUAUGAGAAAGAUAAUACCAAUAUUCCCUAUACAUUUGACUUUUAACUUUUACCAGAUUCUUGGAUUCCUCAAAAUCAUGUCUAUUAGUGUUUCUUCUAUAUAUAUAUAUGCAUGAUCUUUCCUUUUGAAAUUCUCAUUAUGUACAUGAUUUUUGCUACUGCUGGCCUUGAAUUGGCACUGAUUUGGGCCACCUUGUUGAAUGAUUCGUGCACGGAUGUGUUUCGUUGGUCUUUUGCGGCAUGUGGGGAGCGUAAACUGGAAGAACGUGUGCAGCAGGCAUCGCUGCUGCGCUGGACGACGUUGUGCGAGGCCAUGGCCAUGGACGAUGUGCUGUUGGAGAACGACGCAGGGCUAAGGUAGUCGAUGUGAACGACCACUGGGUAUGUAAUGGUUUAGUCCUCCUGAAUUUGCACUCUGUUUUUUAGUCCUCUGUAGUGUUGUUCAAUUUGGGCAGGGCUUACAUUCUCUCAUAGGAUCAGACCAAACAAGGUCUCAUAAGCUUUGCUGUUGUUUUGUUCGAAACAUAAAAACAUCCAUUAUCGAGGAAAGAGUCAUUCUCACAUAGCGAUUUGUUUGCCUCCUUUCAGAAUUCCAAUUGCUUAUGGAUUCGUAUGAUGCAGCCUACAUGUUCCCAUCACCCAGUAAAAUAUAGACAUUAAUUAUUGCAUCUGGGUUUAUAUUAUGCAUCCCCACUGCCAGUUUCAUUGUUAAGUAGGAACGAAGAUUACAUUUAUAAAUGAUAUAUGUAUGUAAUUGUGUGCUGCAUUCUUGCUGCUUCCAGUAGAUGUACUAUCUUUUCAGCGUUGACUUUUAAAGCGUUUUUGCUGACAAGAAGCUUAUCAGUCGUAAUGUUCAGCACCUACAUUACCCGAUGGUCAUGUAGUGCUAGGGAAAUAGAUAUACAAUAUGUUAUAAAGGAUAAGACAAAUAAUUAUUGGGUGUGAAAGAUCAGGAUGGAAGCAUUUUUUUUGCUAUCAUAUGAAUUAUUGAAUACAAUCUCGUAUGCAACCCCUCAAAAUUAGAUUUAAUUCAUGCUCGUACACCAUCACUUAAGUAGGAAAAGAGAAGUAUUUCUAAGGCUACUCUAUAUCUUAUUUUUCUUUCACAGCAUAUAUAUUAUUAGUUAUAUGUUUGCCUGGGUAGGAAAGUAACAAUCAAUCCCUCAAAAUAAAAGGAAACUAAUGAUCAAGACCUUAGCUGGCUGACGGUAACUCCAUUCAUUCUCAUCCAAUUAUUAUUAUUUUAGUUAUUUUUCUAUUCUCAUGGGUAGGUUUCUUCUGUGUUGUUUUGCUUUAGUUUCGUAGUUGUCACUCCCAUGUAUUUCUUCGACGAGGAGGCGUGGACACGAGGCCUAACUAUCCGGUCGGGACUUUGAGUUGCCUGCCAUGGUGGAGCUCGGGAUGUUGGCAGAUCUGACCGGACUGGUGAGCACUCUGCCCACACUUGCCGAGGUCGCCCUGCUCUGUGCCAUGCUCGUGCCAUUUGGAGUAACAGUCUACAAUGCCACAACACUUUGUUGGACCUAUUUUUGGCGUUUCUUCUGCCAGCUGAUGAGUCUUUUAGGGAUGCAAAUUGUCUGCCUUCGAAAAAUCAGAAGAAUGAAAGAAUGGGAUUUAUAGCAUAUAUGCUCUAUGUGCAGCUGAUGAAGCUUUGAGAGAUGAAAAUUGGUUGCCUUUGGAAAAUAAGAAGGAAAGAACGGGUGUUUCAAUUGGUGGGGGAAUCGGAAACAUCUCAGACAUUUUAAAUGCAUGACUGCUGAUUGCUGAAAAUGAAAUAUGCAGUUAUGGAUCCAUUCUAUAGUUGGAAUAUGAGACUCCAUAUGUGUGUGUAUGUUUAUUCUUGCUUGAAUCUGGUGCUGAAGGUGUGAACAGGUGCUUUGACAUUAGCAAGUCUUUUGCUUUAUCCGAAUACGCUUGGUGAUGGCGCCGUGUUCAGUGGUACACAACGAGAUGUGAUGAAGCUUAAAUUUAUUGGUUGGUAUCAAUUGAACGACUUGUCAACAAGAGAUGUGGCUAAAGACUUGCCAUUUUCAUUGAUUAAGAAGAAGAAAUUGCCCGGUUAAUUGGCGGAAAACCGGGCUAAAAACGAUACAAGAUCUCUGCGGUCAUAAUGGUUACUCCUAUGAUCCUAUCUAAUAUAGGCACUCAAAUUUUAGUGUAGUGUCUCUGUAUUUGAGGCAUGGUUCACAUGAGCAAUUAUAUGAAGUUUUGGUUCAGAGAGAAGAAACAUGGUUUUCUUCAAAAAAAAGAGGGUCGUGGAUUAUGGAGUCCACAUGAUCUUAUAGAUGGACGAUGCUGGGCAAUUUCUUUAGAUCUUCUUGAUUUGUGGGAUACUUGAUCUUGCAACUCUGACUUGACUAAUAGACUAGAAAAUAUCUUAUUAACGAGGAGAGACAGGCAGCAGCGCAACAAGGAUUAGGGAAAGUAGCAGCAGCAGCAUGACUCUGCAUAGAAACAGUUUCGAAAAAGCUCGAACAACAAUGAGCUUGUUUUAUUUGCUGAUAAGGCUACAUAAUGUGAUUUCUCUAUCACUGAGCAUAAAAUCUUGUUUUGCAGUACACUAGAAACUCAAGAUGUCACAGCAAUGGUUGCAUAGAUUAGGACACUAUAAUGAAUAGUGUGAUUUUGAGUAUUGUAUAUAUCAUAUGUUAUUUAGUGACUUAGUUAUGCUUGAAGAGAGUAAUGGAGCCGAGUCUCUGUAUACUUUGUAUACGCAAGUACAUUUGCUUGCUGGUAGAGAAUUUCAUGUAUGACAUGUAUGAUUAAUGCUACAAGAUGCAAUAAUGUAAUUAUGUUCUUGAAUUAUUAUUAUUAUUCUGAAUGUUUGGAACUA